rnacentral:sRNA from 1 species
GAACCUUGAGAUCGCACUUGAUCUUGGGCUUGAACCUCCACGACUUGAUCAACCCAAACUUAAACCUAAUCUUAAGUCUCAGCUUGGCAUCGAUCCUAUAGAUCUGAGAAUUCACAUCCUCGUUCAAAUCCUUCCUCUCUCCGCCGUCAAGCAGCACCAAUUGCUGUCCCACGAGUUUAGUUCCAACCACCGUCGUGUUCUUAUGUCCCUGGUAAAACUUCGAGAUGUUGUUACUCAUACCGAAUCGCUGAUCACCGUAGUAUCCUCUGACUUCGAUUUCAUCAUAGUAAACACCGAUCCGGCGGUUAGGGUUACGGAUUGUGAAAUUGAGAUCGAGAUUGUAUCGGAGGUUGUUGGUUGGGUCGAGUGUGAAUUCGGUGAGUUUAGCGUCGGUGACGUGGAAUUUGAUAGCGUUGGGUCUGAAAAUGAGCCAGAUGAUUAGAGCAGCUAUGCCUAAUAAGACGGCUAUGGUUAUGAGGAUGUUGAAGAUGACGCUUAAGAUACAGCAGCCGCAGCAGCCAAGACAGUCACCUAAACAACCGCAUCCACCGCCGCGUCUGCCGUGGCUGUGAGAGACUUUCUUCGGCGGUGGAAUCGAUGGUCCGUAAUACGCACCGUUUAAGUCCGCCAUCUGUUCGUUAAAAUGCCUCAGAGAACGAUUUUGAAAGAAAGUUUUUUUUGGUUUGU